CCGUGCCAAUAUCACUGGUGUUUUUCGCUUUGUGAGUGACGGAUCUUCAAGCAUAUUCUAAAGGGACGGCCCAGAUUGACGGACAACGGUCAUCGUGUUAGGGUUCUUCAUCUUUCACCGCGCGAGGCGAUUCCUCCAUCGGCACGCGAAGUGACCAAGAAAUCUGUGAUAGAACGAGGCGCUACACUGUCUGGUAGGAAUCAUAUUGCAAAAAGACUUAUUACUAUACCACCAGGGCGAUUUCUAUCGAGCGGAGUGGACGCAUAGCUCGCCGCUACAGUUGUAGAGCACUCUAUCGGCCAUGAGCACGCCGCCGUCUAGGCGCUCCAGUGGCUUCUCUCCGCAGAGCAUUGUCACAACGCUAGACAGAAGUUUGAGCACAUAAGCGGCCCACGCUUAUCACUCUCUCCACUUGUUCUUCGUCAAAACUUGGCCCAGGUGAGCUGACGAUUCUCUCGUCUAGCAGCUCCGGUAUCUUGUUCUCUUCGUGUAACUUACAGGCCUGCGAUGGGAUCGCUCCAGCUUUUUCAAGGAGGAAAAAAGUUUUUUUCGAUCACUCACCCAUUCCAGAAGGUACUGGGUUGAUCCCAAUCCGUGCUCUUUCGACCACUCACGAUUCCCAGGCUCAGGAUUCCAAAGCUGAAAACAUCUGCUUUGUCCGUCAAGAGGCCAUGGAGUGCCUACUCCGGUGCCAUAUAUCCCCCGCAAAAACAAAGGUUUGCUCUCGUAUCUGAAGAAUGUGGUGUGACUUUGCCUACACAGUUCCUGCGAUUUGUGUGUUGAUGGAUUUCUCAUCCAAGUACAGUUUCGCCCGAAGUCCGCAAUCUUUGCCUCGAACCGUUUGUCCGAAAGUACCUUCCCGGCUUUGAUGUCUCUGUGGAUGAUUUUUAUCUGGGAAUCCUGGUGCAGGUAAAGGAGUCCUCGAGCUACAUCUAAGAUGAUAUUGUAUCUUUGCUCCCAGGAAAGGCAAGGUUCUCCUGGAUCAGCCGGUACGUAAGUAGAGCAUUGUCAAAAGCUUUCAAGAGAUGGGCUUGGCUCUUACCAAACAGGACUUUGGCCAGGCUGUUCUUCUCCAGGAGCUCGAACACCAGCAGCCUUUAGAUUCCUCGGUGCCGUAUAGCUUGACCAGGUUCCGGUGCUGGACACUGCUUACAAGCCGGACCUCGUUGAGGAACUCGUGUUUUCCUUUUUGCGACUCCGUGGUAAGUCUUUUGAUGGCUAUCUUUCUACCGUCUUGCAGAAUUCCCUGAUUAAAGAUCUUCUCAAUCAUACAAAACUUUUCCCAAGGCAAGUCACUGCUCACCCUGUAGACCUCCACAUCCUCCCUCGCCUAAUUUGAUAUCAUCGCUGAAAUUGUUUGUGGCUGCUUUCAUGGGUAGAUGGUUGCUCCCUGAUGAAUGCUCGUCCUUGUCCAGCAAAUUAUAGAAAACGAGCUUCGAGGUAAUAGUUCUCUUUCGUAGCAACGUACCUUCGUUGACGCAAGUCCUUCCAGGAUUUAAAUAUCGGUGCUUGAUCCUCAGGCAGCAGAAUACAAUCCAGGACACCUCUCAGUCAAGUUCUUUGUCGCGACGGCCAUGCAAGUGUUACACUGCUCGGCGCUCAUGUCCCAUCGACACUCGCCCAGCCCGAAGACUCGCAACUUGCCGUCUCCAGAAGUGACAGUGGUGGAAGAUCCAUGACUAGACAACACCACCAUCGCGGAGUUUAUAUUCUGGCCAUACUGGGAGGAAGGAGCUACGCCGCUACAGUUUGCAAUAGGACGGAGAAGAAAGGAUGGUUAUCAUAGAUGAGGUAGCAACCGUAGAGGAGGAUCCGAGCUUCAAAGCUUCCGGGGCAGACCGACUUGGCGGCCUGGGCUGCGUCUUGGGCGCAGGUCCUGGCGGCACUGGAGGACUCCGUAACCUGUGAGUUUGCCAUCGCGGCUGGGAGCGGAGCUCCGGAAGUGACCGGUGAUGGGGGCAUUGGCGACGAGAACUGCGAGAAGAUCGUCGACAGCGGUGGAGUAAGAGGAAGAAGCGAUGGUGAUCUGGAGUGCUUCUCUCGGCACGAGGACUCGAUCAGUGUGGCAAGCGUUUGAUGGUGGUGGGAAGAAGAUGAAGCUUGUGAGGAGGAGCAUGGUGUGGAGGAGCGUCAUCUCAUUGCGUGACUAAAUUGGAGGACCAAAGAAUUUAACUUUGAAAGUUUUAAGAUUUUAGGGUUCUUUGCUCAUUCUCGUUAAAGGUUUUAACGAGUAGAUUUUAAAGAUUUUUAGGGUCUUCGAUCAUCGCGCCGAGGAGAUGCAUUGCGACGAGUGGAGUUCCUGGCUGCUGUAGCUGGAGUUUAGCGUGUCCGCCUUGAGCACUCCAUCGACGAGCUCUACCAUCGCCGGCCGCGACACUUUGCCCAGCUUGGCCUCUCCACAGAUCAUCGUCACGACUCGUGACAUGCUUGGG
rnacentral:lncRNA from 1 species